AUAAAUAAUAUUAAAAGCAUUAAGUGGAUGCCUUGGCAUUAAUUUAAUUUUUAGGACGUAAAAAAUGCGAAAAGCUAUAUAAAAUGAUAUUUUAUUUUGAAAUAUAGAUUUCCUAAAGAAAACUUUUUCUUUGUGAAAAAUUAAAAAGCAGUGAAUUGAAAUAUCUAAGUAACUGUUAAAAAAAUCAAACGAGAUUCUGUUAGUAAUGACGAAUGAAAAUGGAAAUUAGGUUUAUAAAAAUAAAAAAAUUAUUUGAAAAAUUUUGAAAAAUUUACUUAAAAAGGUAAAAGUCCUGUAGACUAAUUAUUAUUUUUAUAAUAGUAAAAAGAGGUAUGUGUAAUCUUUUUUGAAUAUUGGGGAACCACCCUCAAAACCUUUUAAAAAUUAAUGAUCGAUAGUGAACAAGUACUGUAAAGGAAAGGUGAAAAAGAACUUUUGAGUUUGAAAUAAUUCUGAAACUUAAUGUUAACAAUCAAUUGGAACUUUUUUGAAAAGUGACAGUGUACCUUUUGCAUAAUGGGCCAGCAAGUUUAUUUUUAUAGCAAGCUUAAUUUAAUAAAGUAGGCGUAGAUAAAUCAAGUUUUAAAAAGCUUUUAGUUAUAUAAAUAAGACCCGAAACUGAGUGAUCUAACCAUGAACAGAUUGAAAAAUAGGUAAAACUAUUUGGAGGAUCGAACUCACAUAUGUGGCAAAAUAUGGAGAUGAUUUGUGGUUAGGAGUGAAAGGCUAAUCAAACUCAGAGAUAGCUGGUUUUCCGCGAAAUCUAUUGAAGUAGAGCAUUUAAAAUCUUUUUUUGGGGUAGAGCACUCAUUGAGCUAGGGGGUAUAAAAACUUACUGAAUUCUUGGAAACUCCGAAUACAAAAAAACGUAAUUUAAAUAGACAGACAUUAGGCGCUAAGGUCUUUUGUCAAGAGGGAAACAGCCCAGAUUGAUCGCUAAGGUCUCUAAAUAAUAUUCUAAGUGAAAAAGGAAGUGAAAAAAUAAUUACAACCAGUAGGUAGGCUUGGAAGCAGCCAUCCUUUAAAGAAAGCGUAAUAGCUCAUUGGUCUAGUUUUUUUGCGCCUAAAAUGUAUCGAGACUUAAGAAAUUUACCGAAGCGGCAAGUUUUAUUUUUAUAUAAAACGGUAGCGGAACAUUCUGUAUGUUAAUAAAGAUAUAUUGUAAAAUAUGUUGAAGAUAUCAGAAAAGAAAAUGCUGGCAUUAGUAACAAAAAAUAACGUUUAUGAAUCGUUAUCACCGUAAAUCCAAGGGUUUCUAUGUUAAAAUGCAUUGCAUAGAGUGAAACGGCCCCUAAGAAAGAUUUGACGAAAGCAAAUUUUGAUGGGAUAAUUUUUAAAUUAAUUUUUUUUAAAAAAGUGACAAAAAUUUUUAAUUUUUCAGGAAAUAGCUUUUUUAACUAAAAAACCGUACCCUAAACCGACACAGGUGGAUAGGUCGAGUAGACUAAGGUGAAUGAGAGAACUAUAUUGAAGGAACUCGGCAAAAUGACUUUGUAACUUCGGGAUAAAAAGUACCUAUUUAUUUUAACUAAUUUAAAAUAGGAUUAAAAACUUAAGUGUGUUCGCAUAUUUUAUAUAUAUAUAUUAUUUUAAAUUUUUAAAUAAGUAGGUGUCACAAAAUAGGGGGUUGCGACUGUUUAAUAAAAACUUAGGACUCUGCUAAAUGGUAACAUGAUGUAUAGGGUCUGACACCUGCCCGGUGCUGGAAGAUUAAAAGGAGAUGUUUGCGCAUUAAAUGGAAGUCCCAGUAAACGGCGGCCGUAACUCUGACGGUCCUAAGGUAGCGAAAUUCCUUGUCGGGUAAGUUCCGACCUGCAUGAAUGGUGUAACGACAUCCCCGCUGUCUCCAAUAUAGACUCAGUGAAUUUGAAAUAUCCGUGAAGAUGCGGAUUCUCUAUAGUUAGACGGAAAGACCCCGUGAACCUUUACUACAUCUUUAUAUUGUUAUUUUAUUUAAUAUGUGUAGUAUAAGUGGUAAUCUUUUAGAUCUUUACGCUAGUAAAUUGUUUAGAUAUCUUUGAAAUACCACUCUUAUUAAAAUAAAUAACUAAUAUUUUUAUAAAUAAACAGUGUAUGGUUGGUAGUUUGACUGGGGCGGUCACCUCCUAAAGAGUAACGGAGGUGUACAAAGGUAAGCUCAAAUUGGAUAAUAGUAUCAAUUGUAGAAUAUAAUGGUAAAAGCUUGCUUGACUGUAAGAUAGACAUAUCAAACAGGGACGAAAGUCGGUCAUAGUGAUCCGAUAAUUCUUUGUGGAAAGAUUAUCGCUCAACGGAUAAAAGGUACUCCGGGGAUAACAGGCUGAUGACUCCUAAGAGCUCCUAUCGACGGAGUCGUUUGGCACCUCGAUGUCGACUCAUCACAUCCUGGAGCUGAAGAAGGUUCCAAGGGUUCGGCUGUUCGCCGAUUAAAGUGGUACGUGAGUUGGGUUUAGAACGUCGUGAGACAGUUUGGUUCCUAUCUUCUAUAGAUAUUUUGAAAAAUGAAAGAAUCUAACUCUAGUACGAGAGGACCGAGAAGGGUAAAUCUCUGGUGUAUCGGUUGUUGAAAAGCAUCGCCGAGUAGCUAAAUUUAUUCUGGAUAAUUACUGAAAGCAUCUAAGUAAGAAACCAUUCUUAAAAAUUUUUCAUAUUAAAACUGUAAAAGACUAUUACAU
rnacentral:rRNA from 1 species